rnacentral:lncRNA from 1 species
GUGAGGUGAGCCAAUCAAUUAUCAAAAACACAUUCUCCUUAUAAUUUAAAGUUUAAACCGAACCCCAAGGAGGUUUAUGUAAUUUUCUCUUAAAUUAUACUACACUACUACCAUUACCAAGUAGGAAGGAGUACAACAAGAAAAAAGGGUAAGCAAAAUACAGUGAAAUCUGAGUCUGGACUUUCGGAUCGCCCGUAAGAAAGAAGGAAGGAGACACCCAUCGUCGCAACUUUCAGUUAAAUUAGCUGGCCGUGUCAAGUCCAUAACCGGUACCCUUUCCCUUAAUCUUCUUAUUCAUAUUAUUGUACUACAGGACUUUUUCUUUUGUUCCAAGAAAUGUUGUGAUUCCUCUUGUCAAUUCUCUUAAUUAUGCUGCUAGGUUUUACGAGGGUUAUAUGUACAGCUAUACUGAAGCCACUUGUUCUCAACUUUUAUGAAUUGUACAGAAUUGAUGGAAGCAGGUAGCUUAGUGAAGAAGCGCGGUCUAAAUGUUCAUUUUAAGUUACUUAAUCUUUAGUGUAUUAUGUAUACUGUCCUUUGAAUCUAUUGUAGCUGACUAUCUGGUUUUAUUAGUAUUUGUAGGGGAUUUUAUUGCUCCUAUUCUCUGGAAUUAAAAUUUGGGAUUACCAAAAAACAAAUAUCACACCGGAAUUACAUUCACUGUUAGUUCUGAGGUAUCUUCUCAAGUUAUUUGACCACGGGUGUGGAAUGUAUAGGCCAGAGGAGAAAUAUAAGGAUGCUUUAAUUAUAUUUUCAUGCAUUGUACUAGAAGAAAUUCUGUUUUUUUCACUGUUGAACUUGACUACUUAAUUGGUCAUAAUCCGGCCUUGUUUCGGAACGUUAGAAUGUUGUAUAUGAAUUCCUACUGAUCUACUGAUUCACACCUUUGAUCCUUUAAAAUGGUUGCUUGAAAUAUAAAUGUAGUUGUAUUGCUGCAUACGAAGUAGAAAUAUCUUUUGUAUCAAAGAAUGUGUUUUACUGUGGGACCUCACGUUUCUUGUCAAUGCCACGUAUAAAUGUAUAUGGUUUUUGAUGAGUAUGAAAUAUGUUAUAUUUUUAUUUCUUAAUAUUUAAUUUUUUGUAUUUAUUUUGUGUCUAAAUAAACUCAUUAUUCUUAUAUUUUUAUUUCAUACAGCAACUUGCAAUCCUUUUAUUCACGUGGGCAACUCAUGAGUUCUAAUUCUAAUUGGAGGAGGAUUUACUAAGUCACAGGAAAUUCAGAAGCUUCACGCAACUAGGAAAUUAAUCACGCGGAAAUUGAAGAAAUUCGAACGCGGCUUGGAAAGAUUUUACACGGCAUAUUGUGGAAUUUAUUUCCAAUUUUAAAUCUGAUUUUUGGAUUCUAGAAAAUUAAUUUUUACAAUUCUAUUAUAAUUAGAAUUUCUUUUAGACUAAAAUUUAUUUCUAAAUUGAAUUCUAUUUCUUUAUGGAAAUUAGUGUAAUUUAUAAUUCUUUUAGGAUUGGGAUUUCUAUUUCCUAUAGGAUUUAGGACUUUGUCUAGCACUAUAAAUAGAGGAUGAGAGUCAAGGUUUUAUUCAUUCAACAUUCAACUAUCCUCUAUUGGAGUGAAGGCUCAAGAGCAUGUCAGGCUAGUUCUUUUCAUUCAGUUCUAAAGGGG